UCAGUACUGGAUAAGCAAAAAAAAAAAAAGAAAAGAAAAAAUUGACAGAAACUGCAGUGCUGUGCAAACGGUAGAACUAGGACGCAAGAUCUUCCCCACUACCGUUGACAAGUCCUACUCUUUGACCUCCGUGGGACAUCUGUGACUUUUCCUUGGUUCUAAGAAACUAGAACAAAGAAAACAAGAUAGGUUGUGAAAAACCUCUCAAGAAUCUGCAUGAAGACCUAGUGUGUAUCUUUAUCCGGUUUGCAGAUUCAGGUGGACAGCUUAAUACUCUCACUGCUGCAGGGGUGAGGAACAAACCGCCGAGGUGAACAGACAAGCCAUGGAACGCUACCAGUCGGAGACAUGCUAUAGUUGGAAGCCUCUGAUGUAGGAUACCGGGGUCAAAAGAGAAAAAAGUCAAAAGAGCAGCACUGACCUGGGCUGUGUCUGUAUGUCGGCGCGCUGCGGCUCUGGACGGUGUUGGAGAAGAGGGAAGGCAGGCCACUACAUUCGGCCUCUAUACUGGAGAAUGUCGAAUCGUCCUCGGUGUGAGAUACAAAGCUGGAGUCAGACGGGUAAGUGG